GCUGGAAAGUUCCAAAGGGAUCGCAUUGAUCUAAUUCUUCCUCUUCCUGCAUGGAAAAUGCAGUUCUGGUUCUUAACCAGUUCACUCAUAUCGACUUGGAUCAUGCGAUCCCUUCGGAAUUUUCCAU
rfam:Cajanus cajan CcLG02_1908, whole genome shotgun sequence.